UGCCCCGAUUCCAAUUUAGAGCCGCUUCUGCACACAAAGAGACUCUGCUUAUGAUACGUGUCGGCCUCGCUGGCUGCGGAGAUCUAAUAUCCACUGUGAGUCAUCAUCUGUGGAGGGAAAAACAGCGGCCGUUUUCUUUCUAUUUGGCUGCAGAUAGAGCGGUUGGGUAUCCCGACUCCCAUGUGAGAACACGGCCAGCGAAAUGCCGGUGAAAGUGAUGCAUACUGAUGCAAAAGCCACUCGCCCUCGAGGAGCCUUAUCUCUGCUGUCAAGAUGGAGCCGUUGUCCGAGGAUGUACUUCACUGAGAGGCAGCAUGGGUGACAUAUGGUUUCAGGGAGUAAUUUUACAGG